rfam:Brachypodium distachyon strain Bd21 chromosome 2, whole genome shotgun sequence.
AUUUUACUUCCUCAUUCUCGUAUUAAAUGUCACAACUUUGUUUAAAUACGCACGUAUCUAGACGCGUUUUGGUGUGUAGAUACAUACGUAUUUAGACAAAGUUGCGACACUUAAUAUGGGACGAAGGAAGUAGUUA